ACACACGAAAGGAGGUGAUCCUGAGUUGAGUUGUACCAGGACGCGUGAGGUGGCAGUCAGCUAGCCGCCCCGCCCGCGAACGGGACCGGAAGGUCCUGCCCGGCAGGUCCGGGGCGGCGGGCUAAUCUCCGACAGUCACCCAGCCCGCGAGCUCACCGGUCAGUCCCCGGUGCCUGGUCGAGGGCGCCCGAAGCGGCUCAGUGCCGUCGCGGGUGUUCCGGCAGGAAGCAGCUCGCGGGCUGCCUGUU
rnacentral:sRNA from 1 species